CGAACGAUAAUCUUUCCGUUCAAGUUUUCGGACGAGAACGGUAGGAGGACAGUGGCGAAAGGGUGAGUAACGCGUGAGCAAUCUGCCUUUAAGUCGGGCAUAGUCCUGCGAAAGCGGGUUUAAUGCCGGAUGUGGUCUUCUGAUGCAUAUCAGGAUGUCUAAAGGUGGGGACCUUCGGGCCUGCCGCUUAGAGAUGAGCUCGCGUCCCAUCAGCUUGUUGGUAGGGUAACGGCCUACCAAGGCGUACGGGUAGCUGGUCUGAGAGGAUGGUCAGCCACACUGGGACUGAGACACUGCCCAGACUCCUACGGGAGGCUGCAGUCGAGAAUCAUUCGCAAUGCGCGAAAGCGUGACGAUGCGACGCCGCGUGCAGGAUGACGGCCUUCGGGUUGUAAACUGCUGUUAUCAGGAAGUAACGACUCCGGUGUGAAUAGCACACGGGGAGUGAUAGUACCUGAUGAGCAAGCCACGGCUAACUCUGUGCCAGCAGCCGCGGUAAUACAGAGGUGGCGAGCGUUGUUCGGAUUUACUGGGCGUAAAGGGUGCGCAGGCGGUCUUGUGUGUCAGAUGUGAAAUAUCACCUUUCAUGGGUGAAACGGCAUUUGAAACUGCAGGACUAGAGUUCGGGAGAGGAGAGCGGAAUUCUUGGUGUAGCGGUGAAAUGCGCAGACAUCAAGAAGAACACCAGCGGCGAAGGCGGCUCUCUGGAACGAAACUGACGCUGAGGCACGAAAGCCGGGGGAGCGAAGAGGAUUAGAUACCCUCGUAGUCCCGGCUGUAAACGUUGUGCACUUGAUGUGGGCGGAACUUAUCCCGCCCGUGUCGUAGUUAACGUGUUAAGUGCACCGCCUGGGGAGUACGGUCGCAAGGCUAAAACUCAAAGGAAUUGACGGGGGCCCGCACAAGCGGUGGAGCAUGUGGCUUAAUUCGAUGCAACGCGAAGAACCUUACCUGGGCUUGACAUGCCCGUCGUAUUCCCCUGAAAGGGGGAAGUCGGUUCGGCCGGACGGUGCACAGGUGCUGCAUGGCUGUCGUCAGCUCGUGCCGUGAGGUGUUGGGUUAAGUCCCGCAACGAGCGCAACCCUUGUGAUUAGUUGCCAGGUGUCCUUCGGGGCACGGCACUCUAAUCAGACUGCCCGUGACAAGCGGGAGGAAGGUGGGGAUGACGUCAAGUCAGUAUGGUCCUUAUGCCCAGGGCUGCACACGUGCUACAAUGGGCGGUACAAUGGGAAGCAAGACCGCGAGGUGGAGCAAAUCCCCAAAACCGUCCUCAGUUCGGAUCGGAGUCUGCAACCCGACUCCGUGAAGUUGGAAUCGCUAGUAAAGGCGCAUCAGCCACGGCGCCUUGAAUUCGUUCCCGGGCCUGUACACACCGCCCGUCACA
rnacentral:rRNA from 1 species